GACGAACGCUGGCGGCGUGCUUAACACAUGCAAGUCGAACGGAAAGGCCCUGCUUGCAGGGUACUCGAGUGGCGAACGGGUGAGUAACACGUGGGUGAUCUGCCCUGCACUUCGGGAUAAGCCUGGGAAACUGGGUCUAAUACCGGAUAGGAGCCAUUUUUAGUGUGAUGGUUGGAAAGUUUUUUCGGUGUAGGAUGAGCUCGCGGCCUAUCAGCUUGUUGGUGGGGUAAUGGCCUACCAAGGCGGCGACGGGUAGCCGGCCUGAGAGGGUGGACGGCCACAGUGGGACUGAGAUACGGCCCAGACUCCUACGGGAGGCAGAAGUGGGGAAUAUUGAACAAUGGGCGCAAGCCUGAUGCAGCGACGCCGCGUGGGGGAUGACGGCCUUCGGGUUGUAAACUCCUUUCGCUAGGGACGAAGAUUUUUGUGACGGUACCUAGAUAAGAAGCACCGGCUAACUACGUG
rnacentral:rRNA from 1 species